GUCGAUACAUAUACAGACGCACAGGAGAAGGGUUCUCCUUUGAACCCUAAGUCACCAAAAAUCAACCAAGUUCAUGGGGCAAAUCAAGUCUAAAUGGAAAACCAAGCCGAAAUUAGUGAUCACCAAGCCUAGGGGAUCACAAGACGACUCGAGCGAGAAGGCGGGUGAUAAAGUCGGGAGCGAUACGCGGCAUAAAGGGAAGAUCUAAGAUUGAACCGCAGGUACCGAACCUUAUAAUAGGCUGGGAAUCCGGGCCAGCUGGAAUGAAGGCUAAGGAAUUUGCAACUCCUCAAGCUUAAGGCUUAUGAUAUCUAAAGCUCUGUUUAUUAGAUCAGGUCUGUGGGCUUAUACUG